AUGGGUGUGUUAAGCACAAAGCGAACUAUUCUUUCGCCUUUUACUAAAGAAUACCGUGUGCUUGUCACAUUUAGCGGCAUACCCCUAUUUUUGGAGGUGUCCUUCUUUUGAAGGGCCCCAUAAUUCUAGUCUAUAUUUGUUACGAUUAGUUUGUUCUACUUGUUAAGAGUAUUUUAAUUAUAUACGAACUUUUUUAUUGAGAAUCUUAGGAAUCUUUCUGGCCACUAAUGUGUAUCAAAAGCUGAUUGCUUUCAAUUAUAAAAGAUUCAUUAAUUAUAUAAAGAAAUUGUUAGCUUAUAUCUAAUAUUGAGUAUCAAAGAUCAUCUUUACCGAACAAGGAAAAGAAAAGAUUUCGGCCG